rnacentral:lncRNA from 1 species
GUCAUGGUACCUUUCUAUCCCAAAUUCAUGUAUUUAGUUUUGGUGUUAUAUUUAUUAUACUCAUCGGAUUUUGUCUAAUGCUUAGUUCGUUUCUAUGUGUGUUACAUUUUAAUGUUGUGUCGUUGUUCUCCUCUUAUAUUUAAUGCGUUUCCCUCAGUUUUAGUUUGUAACCCGGAUUUGUUUUCUUUCUUUUGAUUUAUGAGUUUCGUACGCACGAAAUUAUUAAGUAUUGAGUUACUGAGCAUCAUUCUGGUUUAAGUACUUUGUUCAAAAUGAAAUCUGAUAUUUAUAAGAUCACAUAAAAAAUGUUUUAGUGUAAAAACAUGUGAACAUAUUGCACUCAUUAUUAUCUAAGACU